rnacentral:rRNA from 1 species
AUUGAACGCUGGCGGCAGGCCUAACACAUGCAAGUCGAACGGUAACAGAAAGCAGCUUGCUGCUUUGCUGACGAGUGGCGGACGGGUGAGUAAUGUCUGGGAAACUGCCUGAUGGAGGGGGAUAACUACUGGAAACGGUAGCUAAUACCGCAUAACGUCGCAAGACCAAAGAGGGGGACCUUCGGGCCUCUUGCCAUCGGAUGUGCCCAGAUGGGAUUAGCUAGUAGGUGGGGUAACGGCUCACCUAGGCGACGAUCCCUAGCUGGUCUGAGGGGAUGACCAGCCACACUGGAACUGAGACACGGUCCAGACUCCUACGGGAGGCAGCAGUGGGGAAUAUUGCACAAUGGGCGCAAGCCUGAUGCAGCCAUGCCGCGUGUAUGAAGAAGGCCUUCGGGUUGUAAAGUACUUUCAGCGAGGAGGAAGGUGUUGUGGUUAAUAACCACAGCAAUUGGCGUUACUCGCAGAAGAAGCACCGGCUAACUCCGUGCCAGCCGCCGCAGUAA